rnacentral:rRNA from 1 species
GAUGAACGCUGGCGGCGUGCUUAACACAUGCAAGUCGAACGGAAAGGCUCCUGCUUGCAGGGGUACUCGAGUGGCGAACGGGUGAGUAACACGUGUGUGAUCUGCCCUUCACUUCGUGAUAAGCCUGGGAAACUGGGUCUAAUACCGGAUAGGAUGAUGUUUUGGAUGUCAUUGUGGAAAGUUUUUCGGUGUUGGAUUAGCUUGUGGCCUAUCAGCUUGUUGGUGGGGUAAUGGCUUACCAAGUCGUCGACGGGUAGCCGGCCUGGGAGGGUGGACGGCCACAUUGGGACUGAGAUACGGCGCAGACUGCUACGGGAGGCAGCAGGGGGGAAUCUUGCACAAUGGGCGCAAGCCUGAUGCAGCGACGCCGCGUGGGGGAUGACGGCCUUCGGGUUGUAAACAACUUUCGCUAGGGACGAAGCGCAAGUGACGGUACCUGGAGAAGAAGCACCGGCUAACUACGUG